CGUAUGACAGAACUGUGGGGACACGUAAGGAAAGCGGAAGCCGGGAAUGGAAAGCCCGGUGCAAGCGGGGUACCAGUCACUUUGGCAAAUCCGGGUGGCAAUGGGAAGCCGUGAUGCGGAGCGAAAUAAAGUAGCGAAGUCCGUGAGCCAUGCGUCAAGAAAAGCCGCUAUCGUUUAUACCGUACCCGUACCGUAAACCGACACAGGUGGAUGAGGAGAGAAUCCUAAGGCCGGCGGAAGAAGCAUUGCCAAGGAACUCGGCAAAAGGGCCCCGUAACUUAGGGAUAAGGGGUGCCUGGGAAACCAGGCCGCAGAGAAUAGGCUCAAGCAACUGUUUAGCAAAAACACAGGUCUAUGCGAAACCGAAAGGUGAGGUAUAUGGGCUGACGCCUGCCCGGUGCUGGAAGGUUAAGAGGAGAGGUUAGCGCAAGCGAAGCUUUGAAUUUAAGCCCCAGUAAACGGCGGCCGUAACGAUAACGGUCCUAAGGUAGCGAAAUUCCUUGUCGGGUAAGUUCCGACCCGCACGAAAGGCGUAAUGAUUUGAGCGCUGUCUCGACAAUGCAUCCGGUGAAAUUGAAGUACCAGUGAAGAUGCUGGUUACCUGCGCCAGGACGGAAAGACCCCAUGGAGCUUUACUCCAGUCUGGUACUGGGACUCGGUACUGCAUGUACAGGAUAGGUGGGAGGCUAGGAGAUGGUAACGCCAGUUGCCAUGGAGCCGCUGUUGGGAUACCACCCUUGCAGUAUUGGGUUUCUAACCAGCCGCCGUGACCCGGCGGUGGGACAAUGCCAGACGGGGAGUUUGACUGGGGCGGUCGCCUCCGAAAGGGUAUCGGAGGCGCCCAAAGGUUCCCUCAGAAUGGACGGAAACCAUUCGAAGAGUGCAAAGGCAGAAGGGAGCUUGACUGCGACACCGACGGGUGGAGUAGGUACGAAAGUAGGGCUUAGUGAUCCGGUGGUAUUAAGUGGGAAUGCCAUCGCUCAACGGAUAAAAGCUACCCUGGGAUAACAGGCUUAUCACUCCCAAGAGUUCACAUCGACGGAGUGGUUUGGCACCUCGAUGUCGGCUCAUCGCAUCCUGGGGCUGUAGUAGGUCCCAAGGGUUGGGCUGUUCGCCCAUUAAAGCGGUACGCGAGCUGGGUUCAGAACGUCGUGAGACAGUUCGGUCCCUAUCCGGCGUGGGCGUAGGAUAUCUGAGAGGAGCUGUCCUUAGUACGAGAGGACCGGGAUGGACGGGCCGCUGGUGCAUCGGUUAGACUGCCAAGUCUACGGCCGAGUAGCCAAGCCCGGAAGGGAUAAACGCUGAAGGCAUCUAAGCGUGAAGCCCCCCUUAAGAUGAGAUAUCCCAUUCGAAAGAAGUAAACCCCCUUGAAGACGACGAGGUAGAUAGGGCAGAGGUGGAAGUGCAGCAAUGCAUGGAGCUGACUGUUACUAAUCGGGUGAGGGCUUGACCU
rnacentral:rRNA from 1 species